rnacentral:tRNA from 1 species
GCAGGGAUGGCAGAGCCCGGUCAAAUGCGCGGGACUUAAGAUCCCGUGACUUAGUGUCUACGCAGGUUCAAAUCCUGCUCCCUGCA